rnacentral:tRNA from 1 species
GCGGCUGGUGUCAGCUGGUAGAGCAUCACGUUGCCAACGUGAAUGUUACCCAGUGUUAAGAGUGAGUCUCGUUAGCCGCUCCA